GUAGGUGGCAAGCGUUAUCCGGAUUUACUGGGUGUAAAGGGAGCGUAGACGGUAAUGCAAGUCUGGAGUGAAAACCCGGGGCUCAACCCCGGGACUGCUUUGGAAACUGUGUAACUAGAGUGUCGGAGAGGCAAGUGGAAUUCCUAGUGUAGCGGUGAAAUGCAUAGAUAUUAGGAGGAACACCAGUGGCGAAGGCGGCUUGCUGGACGAUGACUGACGUUGAGGCUCGAAAGCGUGGGGAGCAAACAGGAUUAGAUACCCUGGUAGUCCACGCCGUAAACGAUGGCCACUCGGCCUUUGCGGGCGGAAUCUCCGUUCGUGGGGGCCUUAGCUAACGCGGGAAGUGGCCCGCCUGGGAACUACGAGCGCAAGCUUA
rnacentral:rRNA from 1 species